GACGAACGCUGGCGGCGUGCUUAACACAUGCAAGUCGAGCGAGACCCCUUCUUCGGGAGGGUGUUCUAGCGGCGAACGGGUGAGUAACACGUGGGCAACCUGCCCUCAGCUCUGGGAUAACCCCAAGAAAUUGGGGCUAAUACCGGAUAUGACCGCUGACCGCAUGGUCUGGUGGUGGAAAGAUUUAUCGGCUGGGGAUGGGCCCGCGGCCUAUCAGCUUGUUGGUGGGGUAGUGGCCACCAAGGCGACGACGGGUAGCCGGCCUGAGAGGGUGACCGGCCACACUGGGACUGAGACACGGCCCAGACUCCUACGGGAGGCAGCAGUGGGGAAUAUUGCGCAAUGGGC
rnacentral:rRNA from 1 species